UACGUAGGUGGCAAGCGUUGUCCGGAAUUAUUGGGCGUAAAGCGCGCGCAGGCGGUCCUUUAAGUCUGAUGUGAAAGCCCACGGCUCAACCGUGGAGGGUCAUUGGAAACUGGGGGACUUGAGUGCAGGAGAGAAGAGUGGAAUUCCACGUGUAGCGGUGAAAUGCGUAGAGAUGUGGAGGAACACCAGUGGCGAAGGCGGCUCACUGGCCCGGUACUGACGUGACGCUGAGGCACGAAAGCGUGGGGAGCAAACAGG
rnacentral:rRNA from 1 species